rnacentral:rRNA from 1 species
AUUGAACGCUGGCGGCAUGCCUAACACAUGCAAGUCGAACGGCAGCAUGAGGUGUAGCAAUACACCUUGAUGGCGAGUGGCGGACGGGUGAGGAAUGCAUCGGAAUCUGCCCAGUCGUGGGGGAUAACGUAGGGAAACUUACGCUAAUACCGCAUACGACCGUGAGGUGAAAGCGGGGGAUCGAAAGACCUCGCGCGAUUGGAGGAGCCGAUGCCGGAUUAGCUUGUUGGUGGGGUAACGGCCCACCAAGGCGACGAUCCGUAGCUGGUCUGAGAGGAUGAUCAGCAUCACUGGGACUGAGACACGGCCCAGACUCCUACGGGAGCAGCAGUGGGAAUAUUGGACAAUGGGCGCAAGCCUGAUCCAGCCAUGCCGCGUGGAUGAUGAAGGCCC